ensembl:lncRNA
CGUCUACUCCUGCUCCGGUACCUACACGCUACUGUCACGUCUACUCCUGCUCCGGUACCUACACGCUACUGUCACGUCUACUCCUGCUCCGGAGUCGCCGGUCUACUGACCACCGUGUCUUUAUGCACACCUAGACCUCUCCCGGAGGGCAGAGAGUGGGGUAGACCUGGGCAGAGAGUGGGGUAGACCAGGGCAGAGAGUGGGGUAGACCAGGGCAGAGAUGGGAGUUGACCAGGGCAGAGAGUGGGGUUGACCAGGGCAGAGAGUGACCAGGGUGGAGAGUGGGUAGACCAGGGCAGAGAGUGACCAGGGUGGAGAGUGGGUAGACCAGGGCGGAAAGUGGGGUUGACCUCCUCACUAGGUGUCUCAUCUCCUGUUCUCUAGGUGUCUCCUCUCCUCCUCUCCAGGUGUCUCCUCUCCUCCUCUCCAGGUGUCUCCUCUCCUCCUCACUAGGUGUCUCCUCUCCUCCUCUCCAGGUGUCUCCUCUCCUCCUCUCCAGAUGACUCCUCUCCUCACUAGGUGUCUCCUCUCCUCCUCUCCAGAUGACUCCUCUCCUCACUAGGUGUCUCCUCUCCUCCUCUCCAGGUGUCUCCCGUCCUCCCCACUAGCUGUCUCCUCUCCUCCUCACUAGGUGUCUCCUCUCCUCCUCACUAGGUGUCUCCUCUCCUCAUCACCAGGUGGCUCCUCUCUUCCUCUCCUCCUCACUAGGUGUCUCCUCUCCUCCUCUCCUCCUCACUAGGUGUCUUCUCUCCUCCUCUCCUCCUCACUAGGUGUCUCCUCUCCUCCUCACUAGGUGUCUCCUCUCCUCCUCUCCUCCUCACUAGGUGUCUCCUCUCCUCCUCUCAAGGUGUCUCCUCUCCUCCUCACCAGGUGGCUCCUCUCUUCCUCUCCUCCUCACUAGGUGUCUCCUCUCCUCCUCUCCUCCUCACUAGGUGUCUCCUCUCCUCCUCUCCUCCUCUCCAGGUGUUUCCUCUCCUCUUCUCCAGGUGUCUCCUCUCCUCCUCUCCAGGUGUCUCCCGUCCUCCCC